UCCACUUUGAUUCUACUCCCUCCGUGUAGUGCCGGCGAAACGCGAGCAGCCACAGCCGCAACAAGCAGUAGUGCUGGCGAAGCGGUGGUCCACGGUGCCAUCAUCGUCGUCCUCGGCAGAAGGUCAAGCCAAGAUGAUUCAACAACGCCACAACGGGAACCGACCAUAAAUCCUGGACCCGAGGUAACUCUCCCUCAUCCCUGUCCUCCAUUCUCAUCUUUCCCAUGAUCAAAGCAAAGCAAUAAAAUGGUUAGCCAAAAAUUAUUCUUGGAUGUGCAGAUACCAAAAAAGGGGAGAUCUAUUAGGUCAAUGAAGGGAAUACCAAAAACUGCAACGUGCUUACAGGAGAGUAUAGUUCUCGUUUUAAGUUCACAAAUAUUGCGGUCUAUUAAGAAAUUAAGCUGAAUUUUCCAGCCAGCGUUGCAUGUGCGUAGAGAAAAUGCAAAUUUCCUUGAGAUGGUUCAUCACCAAAAUCUUUGAGAGAUAUUCCAAGGCGAGUUAGUCUUUCAGAUGCUAGUCUGACAACAAUUUUUAAUUCUUCUAUAGCUAACUCAGUCUUAUUAGUGCUGUUUUAAAGAACCUAAUGGUUUUAUUAAUUAUUAUUAUGCUCCUUUGAAUGCUCAUUUCGUGCAUCACAGUAUGGUUGCUGAUGUUCAUUUAGUCAUUGCUGUACAGAGACAUAUUUAUGUACCUAAACGAACACGCAUGAACGAAAUGGGCCGACGCGUUUGAGUUGCUCUUAGGGCUCACAAAUGAAGUAGGGCGAGACUACCUGCGACGUCCACGGAACCGGACGCGGUGCCGCUGGCUCCACACCGUGCCGGCGGGAAGGGGAAGGCGCACAGCCGCUCGCUGGCCGCCCGCGCGUCGUCUUGCGCACGACGGCAGUUCCGCAGCCUCACGCUUUCUCUCGACUGAGAGUGCGAUCCAUCCGUCUCCUCCCAGGGGGACUUCUCGUGCUGUGUCG
rnacentral:lncRNA from 1 species